UUUUUGGAAAUGGACUUUUAUUUCUGCAUUACUUCAACCAGUAAGUCAGGCUAUUAGGGGAAUUUAGAAAACAUUUUACUUCGAAAUCUGUCAAAAAUCUGAAUGUUGGUGCUCCAGCCUGACAUCUAGAACAAGAAAUUCAUCGUUUUGGGAUUUAGGUCAGUUAAAUAAUUACAGUUUUAAUCGUUUGCAAUUUUUUUUUUACAGGGCUGAUGUUCAAGUGCCAUGAUAAUGGCUGAUACAAAUUGCUAAAAGGAAUGCACAGAAGGGUUUCAGUACGACUUACAAUGAAUGGUAAUGACAAUUGCAUGAAAAGAAAAAAAUCCAUGGUUUUACUUUGAGGAAAUGAAAGACUAAAUGCCAAGAUCACUCUUUACUGUAAUCAUAGCAACUUCAAAGAUUCAUUUAAUUCUAAAUCCAAUUUAUUGAUUCAGAUAUUCAUGCUCUUGCUUAGUUUGUAUAAAAGGUACUGAAUCCUCCUUUUUAUUCACAUUCUAGGCUUCACUAAGUCAUUCUCUAGUUAUUUUAACUCUAGGAAUACUGAUAGAGAAGAGAGAGAAAUCUUUUGGCCCUUUCACUUUCUGCUUUUAUGACUGAGAGGACUAGGGAGACCCUAGUCUGAAGAUACUGUAUGUUACUCACACCCUCAGAUGAGUAUGAUUUCAUUGGACAGAUAAAAUGCAAUUCAUCCAGGCUCUGUCAGGGAUUUCCAGGUCAGCUCAGGCAGAGUUCUAGCUUUCCCUGUUGUUCUCAAUUGCACCUAUCAGGCAUAUACCAUAUGGCCAUGCAAACAAAUACAUGCACAGCUUUUUCUUUGUUGAACAGCAACAAAACAGAUUGGGGCCAUAUGCUACAGAACGUAAACGAGCACUCUGGUGGCUUACGUGGGUGGGGUGAACCAAUACAGAAGAAAUGUGCAGUUGUCCAUCUUUCUCUUCCUGCUGUAUGUUUUUCUUCACAACACAAAGCAAGAAUUCAUACUGCGGUUUCCUCCCUGUAAUGACAUCACCUCAGUUCUGCCAAGUGAUUCUCCCUGCAACUGUGAAAUACGAAAUGACGAUUUUUGUGGUCAGUGACAAAAUCACUUGUGGCUGUGGAGGAGACUAACUCACAACAUCUAAUUUGCUGCAGUCACUUAACAAUCGUAAUAUAAUAAUCAUUCGCAGCGGAAAUUUCUAUCAAAUUCUAAUGUGUUCUGAAAUGCAAAAUUAUUUGCAUCUAUAUCCUAAUUAUUUUUGUAAGAUUUUUAUUUCUUGAGAGCAUGAGAGAAAAAAAAGCAAAAUAUUAUCUUUCAAUGAUUUUGUUAAAUACAGGCUGAUUUAGGCAAGCAGCUUUCCCUGGUUUGGAAGGUAAGAAACACAGCUGAACAAGCAUGAGCUCCAGAACACAGACUCAGACCUGGAAAGUUUUUGGCAGGUAACUACUAAAGGUUUUGACUGAUUAAAUUUCACUGUAGAAGUAACAGCACUGUCUCUGGUUCAGUGUCUUGGACAUGUUGGCACUAAGCUCAUCUAUUACCCUACACUAGAGAAUGAAUCCCAUUACCAAAAAGUGUGCUUGUCACAGCCAAACAGCAGCACUGUCAGGAUUUGGGGGAAAAAAAUUAGGGAAAGAAGAAGGAAGGAAUACUUUCACCUGCAGGUCCAGUUAGGGUUGUUUGCCCUCCAUCUGUUUAAUCCGGGCUUCAUGCACCAUUCGAUGUGGCGAUGCAGUCUUGCUCAUUUUCCCCGAGACAGAGGCUUUGUUGGCCUCUGUGGCUGAUAUUUACUAAGAGUUAGGAAAAAGUCAUCUGAAUACCUACAGAUCCCUUAGCCUGGGAUCAGGAAUUCCCAAAGCUUAGGAACUGAGUUUGGAGGAAGAAUUGAGAUAACAUCACAGAUGUAUAUAAAAUAAAAUGUAUUUACUAAACAGAUACACUAACUUCAGGAGAACUUCAUAGGUUCCAUUAACUGGUUUUCAAAAACCAUGUAGUAGGGGUAGAUGUCUCAUUCACCUGGACUUGAUUUAAAUCCCUGAUAGACCUACAUAAAAUGUUACAGGUUAAGAAGAAGCUGAUUCAUAGGUACAUUGCAAGAAGGAUGAGGGGGUGGCAGAAGAGAGGAAAAGGAGAAAUAUUGACUUUGAGAAUAUUAAGUAGAAGGAUUCUCUUAGCUGUUGAUCUCUGAUACUAACUACAGAUUUGUUUAUUUUGGGAAAAACCCUCAGGCAUGUUAUCAACACGCAGGCAAAUGCUUUUUGCUGACACAGAGCCUUUCUUGAUAGAAGAUGGAGCAGGAUAUCUUAAAGAAGGAACGGAUAUUGAUAACCUGAGAUACAAAAUCGAAUAAAAGAAGUGGGAAGGACUGAUACUUGGCAUUUUGAUGCAGUUCUCAGCUGUUAGGUAUGCACUGGAACCAAUAAAGAAAGAGGAGGUGCAGAUUUUCUAACAUAUCACAGGAGGUCUGUCAGCAGAAAGGUGUUGUAACCAUAAGGGGUAUAUCCUGCUCAGCACAGAAAGGAAAGUGCUGCAGAAGAGACAACAUAUCCAGUACUACUCAGUGCUCCACCACCACUUCAGAAAGAGAUCAGAUUUCCAAAAAUGCAGGGAGCAAGAGGAGGGUGGUUGUGGGACUGGGGAAUGCAGUUAUCACAUCAGAGGAAAUUUGAAAAUUUAAGCUUUAUUAGUGUAGCAGAACAAAAUUUGUGGGGUGUUUGUAGUCACUUCAUACAACAGAAAGGGGGAAGAUAUGUGAAUGAAAAGAUUAACAGUGGCAUUAGAGAUAAGGGCUACAAACAGAAUGAAUUUGAACUGGCCACUGGGAGUAGCUGUCUGGCUAUUGAAGAGGAAAGGUCUGGAGUAGUCUUCCAGUUGCAAGAGUGGAACUUAUUUGAAAAAAGAACAAAGACUUCAGUACUCUUAAAUUUGGUUUCCUAUGUUUAUGAAAGGGAUUAUAAAACGUGUUGCGAUGGCAAAGGACUGAGUUCAGCCAUCCCACAUUCCGACAAAAAGGGAUCAGGACCUCCCUUUGUUAUCCUUAGGUGCCAGAGGAAUUUUCAAGAUGGAACUGGAGAGCUGAGAGGGAAGAAUUGAGAUGCAAGAGGAAAAGACUGUUUUGUGGCCUGCGUUCACAGUAUGUAAAUGUAAUGUAAUUUAAGUGAAUAACACUUAAAUUAGUGUAAAUUUAGAGCUUGAUUUGGGAAAGGCAUCAUACUAGUUUGGUAUAUAUUCAGCAUUGCUCAUCAUCAAGUCCUUAGAAUCAAAGUCUAAAGAGAUGGGAAUGCUGUAUUUCUGAAGAAGUCUUUCAAUUCAAUUAUAACUUUAAAAAGGGCAAACUAAGAGGUGACCACUAUUCAAGUUUGUGGCACUGUACGCAGAUGCCUGCUUGUGGUUCUGCACUAUCUUAGUGCGCUGGUUUCUUUGAGCUGCAAAAAAUAUAAACUAAAAAGGAUUUAGAAGGCACACUUGAUCACACUUACAGCAUCCGGUAACAAAGCACGGCUGAGGCUUCUAGAAGCUUUGCUGGGAACAUAGCAAACCACCUUUGACGCCUCAACAGAGCAGCGGCGGCCUCAGACGGAGGUGUAAGGCCCGCACUCCCGCUGCGGUCGUUGUCGGGGCUUUCCCUCGGUGUUUUGCGGGUGCAGAAAGGCGUUGGUUUUUGCAGCGAGGAGGAGGCGGCAGUCCGGAGGUGCAGCGCUGCUGUCGGCCGCGUUCCUCAUACCUCCCCAGGUUAAUUUUCUCGCUGGAGAUUCCUUGCGAGUCGAGGGCCACCCCGCCUCCGGGGCGCCCAUCCCUCCAGCCGCUGCCGCGGGAGGUGCUCCCCCAGCAGAGGGUGCCGGAGCGCCGGGGCCGCCACCCCUCGGUGCCUCUCCCCUCCCCUUCCCUGCCCUGUGUC
ensembl:lncRNA